ACUGUUACAAUGUUUACUGUUUCCAGCAUGAAUGUAUUGUAAUGUGCAGAACAAUGCCGGUCCGGUGGUUAAAGCUUGGAGAACUUUCCAGUUCAUCAGCCCCAUCAUCACCUACAUGCGUGGGGGAUCCCAGCAGGUGGUGGUGAGGAUGCACCACGUGAGUAGGGUGAGAGGCCUGGAGACUCAACUGGUGUGGGCCAUCUCCAAGGAGACAGCCAGGCUUAGUCCAGAGGGCAUCCCCUACUGUGCCACCAAAGUGCAGUCCAUCACUUGGAUCCAGGUAAGACGUAAAUACUACUGAAACAGUAGUAGAUUAGGCUUUUCUUCACUUAUUCCAUUUGGCCUUAAUAUGUAUUCUCUCUUUGUCAGCGUGUGGCUGGCAGGGUGACCCACUAUGCGUCUCACCUCCGCCACGAGACGUCUGUGGACGUGACGCUUGGCUGCUACCAGGUAAAUAAACGAUUUCCUAUGUAUAUAGACUAGACAUUACUGGGCAUUUUUGCAUUCGAUUUGGUGUGUUUUCUAAUAACGUGUGUGUGUGUGGUAAACCGGUGUGCUGUGUGUGUUUUGAGCAGCAGACUGAUGUCUCAGUGGUGUACGCCACUCUCCACAUGGGGCUGGACGGGCUUCUAUCCUCUUCGGCGUGGUCGGAGGCUGCCUCCUUCUCUACUCCCACCACUCAGCAGUUCACUGACCCAGAGCCUGAGGGCCACAACUGCUAUGAGGUCAGACGUUACACACACAUACUAUUGACUAGGAGCAUUAAGAUCCUUCCAUUGACCGAUUGUUUGUUAUGUCAUUGCACUGGUCACUGAUUUUGAAUGCUUGUUUUGUUGUCGUAGGGCUGGGAGGAGGACCUGCUGCCUGAGGAGAGGGAGGUUCCUCUGCUAAAGUGAGUUCCUCUAAAUGUCUGUGUAGUCUGAGCUUGUCAAAUGCUGAAGGAUAGUGGUCAUAAUGCUGUUAUCCCCCAUUGACUCUAAUGGUUGACAUGCUUCAUUCCCUCCCUUUCACAGCCUCUACCUUACCACCAAGAGAGUGGAGGACAUCGCCCUGAGGCUCGUCUCCUUGCGCCAGGCCUUCACUGUGCGUGGACCCACUGUUCUUUUUGUCUCUGUGACUUCUUGUUCUGUCUCCAAGAGGAAGAUGUCUCACCCUAACUCUUCCCUCUUCCCUAGACCCUGCUUGGUUCCACCCUGAGCAGGAACCAUCUGUUUGUGGCGGGAAAGGUCCUCCUGGGCGGCCUUGUUCAGGCCAACCACAUGGUAACUCACUCUCUUUCAAGGGAAAGAGAGCGUCCCUGAGGGGAAAUGUGUUCUGUUCACUAAGAUGCUCUUUUCUUUGUCAUAGGACGAGGCCAAAUUCAUCAGUACCUAUAAUGACUUUGUGGACUACCUGAGUGACCCCUCCAAGCGGAAUGACAUUGAGAGGGAGCUGGCUGAGGCAAAGGUGAGUUCAUUAACUCUUUCAAGUCUCACUGAGUUCUUCCACAUGCAUGUCUUUUAUACAUCACAGUAGCUGAUAUUAUGAAAUCAUUCCUAUUUUCUCCAAACGUGUUUUCUUGUCCUAGAUCCAUCAUGUGAACAUGAUAGAUGUCCUCUUUGAGCUGGUGCUGUUUGGGAUGAUGACAGCUCAGAAGUCCCUGAUGGUGGUAAGUAGCAUCUCACUGGAACAUGUUUUGAUAUCGCUCUAUUAGCAGUUUCACUUAAAUUCCUCAUCUCUUCUCUUAUCUUUUCUCCUCCUUUGUUUCCUUUAGCACCCUGGUGGGUUCGUGGAGCGUCUGUAUGCUCUCCUGUACUCCUUCCUGCCCACUGCUGCCAACAUGGAGCCAGAGGCUGAUAGAAUCCUACUGCUGCUCAAUGUAAGAGUCAAGAGGUUACUUCCUGUUUACUUCCAUAUUCUUAGUGUACUUCCUUUUGACUUCCUUAUUCAUGUUUAACCAGGUUUCAAUGCCAUUUUAGGGGGAGUAUUUCUAAUUGUCUCUCUCCUCUUGAUAAGCUAGUAACUCAGAGCCAUUUUCUAUGUGUGUGUGGGGUUCUCUACAGGGGCGGGCUGAUGGCUCUGCUAGAUGACAUGUUGGCCAGCAGCUGGCCUGGUACUUUAACCCAGAGUCUCUGGUCACUGAGCUCUCCAGCCUCCUGGAGUACCACUUGGAGAACCUCAUGUGCCAGCAUGUAGUCCUACUGCAGGGACCAUACUCCUUUCUCCUUCUCUCUCUCUUUGAAGGAAUUUAGGACUUGAAGUGCGUUGUUAACCCUGAUUAGUUAACACGCAUUAAUUUAAUGUAUUCUCUUGUUUACUCUCCCCACAGGAUUAUUGUGACACUUUGCCACCCAACAGGGAUCUAGACACCAAUGCACUACAUUACUUUGCACUGAAUUUGAC
rnacentral:lncRNA from 1 species